GACGAACGCUGGCGGCGUGCUUAACACAUGCAAGUCGAACGGAAAGGCCCUGCUUUUGUGGGGUGCUCGAGUGGCGAACGGGUGAGUAACACGUGAGUAACCUGCCCUUGACUUUGGGAUAACUUCAGGAAACUGGGGCUAAUACCGGAUAGGAGCUCCUGCUGCAUGGUGGGGGUUGGAAAGUUUCGGCGGUUGGGGAUGGACUCGCGGCUUAUCAGCUUGUUGGUGGGGUAGUGGCUUACCAAGGCUUUGACGGGUAGCCGGCCUGGGAGGGUGACCGGCCACAAGGGGACUGAGAGACGGCGCAGACUCCUACGGGAGGCAGCAGGGGGGAAUAUUGCACAAUGGGCGGAAGCCUGAGGCAGAGACGCCGCGUGCGGGAUGACGGCCUUCGGGGUGUAAACCGCUGUCGCCUGUGACGAAGCGUGAGUGACGGUAAUGGGUAAAGAAGCACCGGCUAACUACGUG
rnacentral:rRNA from 1 species